rnacentral:lncRNA from 1 species
UUUUUUUUUUUUUUUUUUGGUCUUUUUGCCUUUUCUAGGGCCACUCCCGUGGCAUAUGGAGGUUCCCAGGCUUGGGGUCUAAUCAGAGCUGUAGCUGCUGGCAUAUGCCACAGCCUCAGCCACACAGGAUCUGGGCCACACCUGUGACCUACACCACAGCUCACGGGCAACACCGGAUCCUUAACCCACUGCGCAAGGCCGGGGAUCGAACCCACAACCUCAUGGUUCGAUCUCUGGCCUCGCUCAGUGGAUUAAGGAUCCGGCAUUGCCAUGAGCUGUGGUGUAGGUCACAGAUGCAGCUCAGAACCCGUGUUGCUGUGGCUCUGGCAUAGGCCAGUGGCUACAGCGCUGAUUAGACCCCUAGCCUGUGAAUCUCCAUAUGCGGUGGGAGCAGCCCUAAAAAAGGCAAAAACAGACAAAAAUAAAUAAAUAAAUAAAGUUUACUGUGUCUGAUAUAAGUAUUGCUACACCUGAUUUCGUUGUUUCCAUUUCCAUAAAAUCUUUCUUCAUCCCCUCACUUUCAGUCUGUGUAUGUCUUCAGAAGUAAAGUGAGUUAUCUUGUAGGCAAGAGAUAGAUAGAUAGAUAGAUAGAUAGAUAGAUAGAUAGAUAGAUAGAUCGAUCUUUGUUGUUUUGUUUUUAAUCUAUUUGGCCACUCUAUGUCUUUUGAUUGGAGCAAUUAUUCCAUUUAUAUUUAAAGUAAUUACUGAUAGGUAUGUACUUACUGCCAUUUUGUUAACUCUUUCAGGUUGUUUCUAUAGUUCUUUUCUGCCCCUCUUUUCUUCUUUUGAUCUCUACCCUUCUGAUUUGAUGACUAUCUUUAGUGUUAAGUUUGAAUUCCUUUCUCUUUUGUGUGUGUAUAUCUAUUACAGAUUUUUUUACUUGUAACUACCAUGACGUUCAAUGUGUGUGUGUGACAGAGAGAUUAAGUUGAUGAUAUCUUAAGUUUAAAGACAUUCUAAUAACCCUAACAGUCCUGCAUUUUUACUCCCUCUCCCACAUUUCAUGUUUUUAAUAUUACAUUUCAUAUCUUUUUGUUUUAUGUAUCCCUUAUUGUGGAUACAGACGAUUUUACUACUUAUGUCUUUUAACAUUCCUAUUAGCUUUAUAAGUGACUGAUCUACUUUGUUUACUAUAUAUUUGCCACUUCAUUAUUUUCGUAUUUCUAGUUGUGGUUUUUUCUUUUUCACUUACACAAGUCAUUCUUGGAAACAUUUCUUGGAGAGCUGAUUCUGUGAUGCUGAACUCUUUUAGCUUUUGCUUGUCUAUAAAACUUUUGCUCUUUGCAGCAAAUCUAACUGAAAGCCCUUCAGGAUAUUCUUGAUUGUAGGUUUUUCCCUCUCAUCACUUUAAAUGGUGCCAUGCCCUUCUGGUAUACAAAGAUUCUCCUGAAAAGUCAGCUAGCAGUCUUAUGGAAGUUUCCCUUGUAUGUAUGUAUGAAAGGCAUUAUGUAGGAUGCAACUGAUGGGGCUCUGCAGUACACUCCCCUCUUGUCACCAGGGGUACAUAAUCUAGAGGUACCCCAUAUGGAGGCUGAGUGGGCCCUUCUGUUGUCCGGAGACCAACUACUGUGGGCAUGCUGGUAGACAGGGUUGGCUCUGGCUCACUUGGCUACAAGCCCUACCUCAUGCAGAGGCUUCCAACUGCUGGUGGGUGGGACUGAGUCCUGGCAUGGCUGGCUGCAGGGCCUGGGGCUGGGGCCAAACUUCUGGUGGGCAGGACCAGAUCCCAAGGCAGCUGGGAUCCCGGGUGCCAGUGGUCUCAAGGAUGGUUUUCACCUGGGUUGAGUGGGGCCGGUUCCUGGAG